rnacentral:rRNA from 1 species
CCUACGGGAGGCUGCAGUGAGGAAUAUUGGUCAAUGGGCGCUAGCCUGAACCAGCCAAGUAGCGUGAAGGAUGACUGCCCUAUGGGUUGUAAACUUCUUUUAUAUGGGAAUAAAGUGCAGUAUGUAUACUGCUUUGCAUGUACCUUAUGAAUAAGGAUCGGCUAACUCCGUGCCAGCAGCCGCGGUAAUACGGAGGAUCCGAGCGUUAUCCGGAUUUAUUGGGUUUAAAGGGAGCGUAGGCGGGUUGUUAAGUCAGUUGUGAAAGUUUGCGGCUCAACCGUAAAAUUGCAGUUGAUACUGGCAGCCUUGAGUACAGUAGAGGUAGGCGGAAUUCGUGGUGUAGCGGUGAAAUGCUUAGAUAUCACGAAGAACUCCGAUUGCGAAGGCAGCCUGCUGGACUGUAACUGACGCUGAGGCUCGAAAGUGUGGGUAUCAAACAGGAUUAGAUACCCCAGUAGUC